rnacentral:misc_RNA from 1 species
UUGAAUAUACUUGAUGGGUUGUGGCUGGCCCUCCGGGGCAUGUGCACACUUGUCUUGCUUUUAUUCAUCCACCUGUGCACCUUUUGUAGUCUUUGUGGGGAUUGAGUCGCCUUGUCAGAUUGGGUUCUGGAUUUGAAGAGUGCCUCUGGGCUCUUUUCUAUUGACUUUUCUCUCCCAAAGUGCUAUGUCUUUCAUAUACCACAUAGUAUGUUGUAGAAUGGUUGAUUAAUGGGAUAUAAUGAUAUA